CCAGGGGGCCGGGCAGCCGCGUGCCGCGAGGUACGAGGAAAGUCCGGGCUCCACGAAACGAGGGUGGCGGGUAACGCCCGCCCGGUUGGUCUUUUCGAAGGCCGAUUGAGGGAAAGUGCCACAGAGAGCAUACCGCCGAUGGCCUGUUCGCAGGCUCAGGCAAGGGUGAAAGGGUGCGGUAAGAGCGCACCGGGGUUUCGGCAACGCGGCCCGCAUGGCAAACCCCACCCGGAGCAAGGCCGAAUAGGGGUGGCGCGCCCGUGCAAGCGGGCAGGUGCGUUUCGCAUCGACCACCCGGGUUGGCUGCUUGAGCUGCGGAGCGAUCCGCAGCCUAGACGAAUGGCUGCCCCCGCGUGGCUGGUGUGCAAGCAUACCGCGCGCGGGACAGAACCCGGCUUACAGGCCCCCUGGCAUC
rfam:Erythrobacter sp. HI00D59 HI00D59_c3, whole genome shotgun sequence.